rnacentral:lncRNA from 1 species
UAAGUAAGUGAGGAAGUUAGACAAUGACAGAAAGCAUCACAAACACAACAAACAUAUAGUGGUUCGGUGCACCCCAGCACCUACAUCCACUCCCCAAGAUCUCUUGGUAAUUUCACUAUAAUCCUUCAGAUUGCAGCUGGUUGUUUUACAAGCUCACAACCUAACUUGUUGUUUUCACAAGAUCACAACGAACUCGGUCGGUUUUCACAGGCUCGCCGACUAGAACCACCCGAUUGUUUUUCCGGGUUCACAAUCAAACCCAGUUGGUUUUUUCCGGUUCACCAACCACAACUUUACACCGUUGGUUUUUCUUUUGGCUCA